CGAGUACACCCAGCAAUUUCAUCAGAAACUGAGUCACGGACAUCGACAGUAUUCCAAAGGGUGGACAACGCAGACUCACCCCAGUUAGUGUCUUUGUAUUGAGUGUUCACAAUGUGGCUGAACCCACGGUGCUGGAAGGGCAGGACAACAGUCUUCCUACUUGUUUCUGCCCUGUCGUUCAGAUGCAGCACUGCUUUAAGUGGGUCAAAUGUCUGCCAUCGAACGGUUUCCUAUGGUUGUCGGGAAAGUUACAGUCAGAGGUACUACACCAGAUGUGGAGACAUAUGGAGGUGGUUUAGCUGUGCACGAUACCGAACCGCCUACCGAUCGGCAACCUGUUACCGUUCCGAGGCUUACUGCUGUUCCGGAUACACAGCGAGUGGGGGAAGAUGCAUACCUGUGUGUCAUGGAAGGACAUACUGUUUCAACGGCGGGUCCUGUACCAGGCCUAACAUCUGCAGCAACUGUAACGAUGGCUACUAUUCACCGAGAUGUGACCG